GCCUGAGUGGCUCAGUCGGUUGAGCGUCCGAUUUCGGCUCAGGUCAUGAUCUUGGGGUCUGUGAGUUCGAGCCCCAUGUCGGGCU
rfam:Felis catus isolate Cinnamon breed Abyssinian chromosome A2, whole genome shotgun sequence.